UUACUUAUUCUUUUGAUUUAUUUUUUUAAAGACCAACCACCGUUGACAUAUACAUAAAAUUAAUACAAGCUGUGAGGGACUGCUAUCACAAAACCAGAGAGAAAUCUACUAAAGACACAGUUUCUUCUUCACCUUGAAGGGCAAUAGAAGCCAAAUGUACAAAGUGCAGAAUAAAGUUAGAAAAUUUACAAUAUUCCUGGGAUCUGCUAACCAUGUAUGACAGCAAUUUGAAAGAGGAAUGGUUUAUAUGAACUUUCAAUUAUAAGGCUCUGGAAGUUCUUAACUGCUAUGAGGAGGUAGCCAAUACACCUCAGAAAAGGUAGUCAAGAUUCAAACAACAUAGAAUCAUCUUAAAAGUUAAAAUUGUCUUAAAACGCACCCAGAAGCAUGCAGGUAACAGAUAAUGCUAUGUCAACUUUAAAUCAAUUACAAUAAUGUAUUCCAAAUCUAAUCAUUUGGUUAAAGACAAAGAUAAGAUAGAUAGGCAUAUAUUUGGUUAUAUUAAUGCAAUGAAAAUAAUUACACUAUAUCCUCAAAAAAAACUUUAUUGUUUUUUAACAAAGCCACUGAACAAUCUUUUCAUUAAAUCUUACUAUUUGGAGAACAAUAUAUUUCUUUAUGUAUUACACUGUAGCCUAACUGUGCUUAUGUCAUCACAUCAACUUGAAAUUAUAUUUUUAAAAUAAACACAUAACAAACAAAAAGAAGCAGAAUGUAUAAAGGAAAAAUGGGAUUUAAAAAUCUUGAUUUAUUCUGUUGUAGUUGAUUGUUUAUCCAAAAUUGAUUGUCUUAAACAAUUACUGUUGCAGUUUAUAAAACUGACAGAUGCUCAUUUGUUACUAAAG
rnacentral:lncRNA from 1 species